GAUGAACGCUGGCGGUAUGCUUAACACAUGCAAGUCGAACGGACUCUUCGGAGUUAGUGGCGGACGGGUGAGUAACGCGUGAGAAUCUGGCUUUGGGUUCGGGACAACCACUGGAAACGGUGGCUAAUACCGGAUGUGCCGAGAGGUAAAAGAGAAAUUGCCUGAAGAUGAGCUCGCGUCUGAUUAGCUAGUUGGUGAGGUAAAGGCUCACCAAGGCAGCGAUCAGUAGCUGGUCUGAGAGGAUGACCAGCCACACUGGGACUGAGACACGGCCCAGACCCCUACGGCAGGAAGCAGUGGGGAAUGAUCCGCAAUAGGCGAAAGACUGACGAAGCAAUACCGCGUGAGGGAAGAAGGCUCUUGGGUUGUAAACCUCUUUUCUUAGGGAAGAACAAAAUGACGGUACCUAAGGAAUCAGCUUCGGCUAACUCCGUG
rnacentral:rRNA from 1 species